rnacentral:rRNA from 1 species
UACGAGGGGGGCUAGCGUUGCUCGGAAUCACUGGGCGUAAAGCGCACGUAGGCGGCUUUUUAAGUCAGGGGUGAAAUCCUGGAGCUCAACUCCAGAACUGCCUUUGAUACUGAAGAUCUUGAGUUCGGGAGAGGUGAGUGGAACUGCGAGUGUAGAGGUGAAAUUCGUAGAUAUUCGCAAGAACACCAGUGGCGAAGGCGGCUCACUGGCCCGAUACUGACGCUGAGGCACGAAAGCGUGGGGAGCAAACAGG